rnacentral:lncRNA from 1 species
UAAAACUCUAGACUUAGACUUAAAAGCAACCCUAAGAGUCCUAAAGAGGCUUCAACCGUUUUCAUCAUAGAGGACACCCCCCUGAACUUCUUCUUCUACAGACCCCAAAAAACGAAAAGAACUGAGACCAAAAAAGUUCCAGCACUGCUCGUCUUCUACAGACGCACACAACCAUCAAUCCUUAGCUCCCAAUCAAGCCAACCAUUUCUCUGAUUUCAAAGAGACCGAAAAAACCUAACACAAAAAGAAUUCUCCAUCUCCAACCUAGAAGAACCACAAAAGAACGACCUCUCAUCUGACCUUUGAUUCUUCUUCAACAAUCGGCCGUACACACACGAAAAUGCACAGAAGCAGAUGAAAAAUGAACAAAAAAACAGAUCUGAAAAUAGAGCAAGUAAUAGAGAAACGAAGGAAGGGAACGAACAUGAUUUUUAUAUUCUGAUUCCGGAUUCAAAUCCUUUUGAGUUUCGUUUCAAAUUUUAGCUUUCUUUUUUUGAUUUCUGAUUUCGGAACCAUGGAAUUCAAUAAAGUUUGAGGGUGGUCGGGUUUCGUUUCAGUUGUUGGAGUCGAUAAUAUCUUUCGAAAAAAAGGGUUCGACAAAGAAAAUUUUCUAUCGUGUUCCGGUCUAGCUUGAGUUCCGGCGAGUUCACGUUUGUUGCCGUUUAUUGGCUUCUGUCCGUGGUUCCAUUUCGAGUUCCUGUUCCAGCCCGUUCCACAGUUUUUUGCUCGAAUACUUAAAAAGCUCAGGUUCAUUUUGAGAUCCAGUCUUAAACUCUAGUUCUUUUAUUUCUUCUCUUAUGUGAAUAUACCGUGUUAGUUUAUUAUUGCAUUUUAGUUGAUAUUAUGUGAGGAUUUGUAGUGUUUACUUCAAAUUUGUUUGAGUUGGUUCUUUGUUUUGAAUUUUAUUAUUAUAAAGUAGUUGAAGUCACGUUAUGCUAAUACAAACAUAUGUUGAAGAACAAAUUUAUUUAAUGUGGGAAUAGAUAUAGUUCAAAUGUCCUUUUAAUAUGUGUUGCAAUGUCUCGUUUAAAUUGGUCUGUGGAUUUGUUCUAACUUCAAAUAAGACGACUAUUAGUUGAAUUGAGAAAAAUAGGCCAACAAAUCAACUGAUAAUAGGAUUAAGUGGGCAGUGGGCUUUUGGACUAAAAUUUCAAAGAGUUUGGACUCAAGACAAUUUCGUAACUCCUCGUUCUUGCUUUUGGGUUGAAUCGUUAGGAACGUGUUUUAGGACGAUCACAUUUGGGUAGGUAAACUUUUUAAGCGCAUAAAUAAAAUUAUCAUAGCUGCGGGUACAAAUCCCGUGAUGUAGUUGUGAUACAUAAUUUCUAAAUCCAGGGGUACAUUUAUAUAACCCGGCCACAACUUUUAAUGAUGUUAAUAAAUUAAACGUGUUGUAAAUCGUGGGUACAGUUCCCGUGAUACGUCGCAAUAUGUACCAAACAAAUAAUUGUACGACAAUCGUAACUUGUUCGAGAAUAAUUCCAUAACUAAUUAAAAGUGAUAACUAGGGAUUAUGAUGUAUUUUGCACUCCUUCUUGCUUAAGGUUUGAUUAGAAAUGUGUACAAAAUAGUCCCAAAGGUUCACAAGUUGUGCUUGAUUGUAGGUUUGAUCAACAAGGAGACAAGGUGUCAAAAACCAGCUCAAAAAGGAGUGAAAUUUACACAGGUACCAAGACAAGACCAAGCUCAGUCAAACAGGGCUAGUGCAGCCGCACACCAUUUUGUGCGGUCCACAUAGAUGAAGUUCAGAGAGUAUAUAUUUUCAGGCAACCAGGCAAUGCGGCCACAAAGGGUUUUGUGCGGUCCGAAUUGGGUUCAUUGCGGCCGCACUCGAUUUCGUGAGGACCACAUUGCCCGAGAUCAGAGAGUUGUUAGAUUUGAGGAUGAAGCCCAAUGCGGUCCGCGGUCCAUUUUGUGCUAACCGCAAUAGAAGCCACCGCGACCGCACUCGACUUUGUACGAUCCACAAAGCCCAAGUUUAGAGAGCAGAUUAAUCAAGCCAAGAGCCUUAGUGAGGCCGCACUCGAUUUUGUGCGGUCCGCACUAGCCCCGCAUGGGUAUUUCUGUCCAGAAUUUUCAGCCUAGUAUAAAUAGUUUCUUUUCCCAUUUUUAGGUCAUCUGAUAGAUUUUGGGACAGAGUUGCGCUUGUGACUUCUUCUCUUUUAUCAUUUUGAGUAAUUUUAGCUUAGUUUCAACAUUGAAUCUUCAAGUUUUAUUUAGUAAUUAAUUAUUAUGGGCUUUUCUUCAUCUAUUUCUUUAUUUUCUUC